rnacentral:rRNA from 1 species
AUUGAACGCUGGCGGCAUGCCUUACACAUGCAAGUCGAACGGCAGCACGGGAGCAAUCCUGGUGGCGAGUGGCGAACGGGUGAGUAAUAUAUCGGAACGUGCCCAGUCGUGGGGGAUAACGCAGCGAAAGCUGUGCUAAUACCGCAUACGAUCUAAGGAUGAAAGCGGGGGAUCGCAAGACCUCGCGCGAUUGGAGCGGCCGAUAUCAGAUUAGCUAGUUGGUGGGGUAAAGGCCCACCAAGGCGACGAUCUGUAGCUGGUCUGAGAGGACGACCAGCCACACUGGAACUGAGACACGGUCCAGACUCCUACGGGAGGCAGCAGUGGGGAAUUUUGGACAAUGGGCGCAAGCCUGAUCCAGCAAUGCCGCGUGCAGGACGAAGGCCUUCGGGUUGUAAACUGCUUUUGUACGGAACGAAACGGCCCUUUCUAAUACAGGGGGCUAAUGGCGGUACCGUAAGAAUAAGCACCGGCUAACUACGUGCCAGCCGCCGCCGUAA